GGAGGGGAAGGGGACGACAGAGGAUGAGAUGGCUGGAUGGCAUCACUGACUCGAUGGACAUUUGGUCCAUGGUGAGAAAUGGAAGCUGCUUAGUUUGCAAACUCCUGGUGUGACGACUUGAGUUCCGUAUCUCCGUGCUGAACUCUCAUGAUCAUCCCAGCCACUUUAUUUCCCAUCUGGCACUCAGAGUGUGCCUCUCAUGUAUAGAGUACAUUUUAUGCUAUGCCCUCGAUGUUGAUAUUUGAUUUUUAAAAUAUAUAUAGGCAUGUUUUACAAACUGCUAUACUUUAUUAAAGCUCUUCUUGGGUCAGUACACAAAA